GGGUGAGUAAUAUAUCGGAACGUGCCCAGUCGUGGGGGAUAACGCAGCGAAAGCUGUGCUAAUACCGCAUACGAUCUCUGGAUGAAAGCGGGGGACUCGCAAGAGCCUCGCGCGAUUGGAGCGGCCGAUAUCAGAUUAGCUAGUUGGCGGGGUAAAAGCCCACCAAGGCGACGAUCUGUAGCUGGUCUGAGAGGACGACCAGCCACACUGGAACUGAGACACGGUCCAGACUUCUACGGGAGGCAGCAGUGGGGAAUUUUGGACAAUGGGCGAAAGCCUGAUCCAGCAAUGCCGCGUGCAGGAUGAAGGCCUUCGGGUUGUAAACUGCUUUUGUACGGAACGAAACGGUCUGCCUUAAUACGGUGGGCUAAUGACGGUACCGUAAGAAUAAGCACCGGCUAACUACGUGCCAGCAGCCGCGGUAAUACGUAGGGUGCGAGCGUUAAUCGGAAUUACUGGGCGUAAAGCGUGCGCAGGCGGUUAUAUAAGACAGAUGUGAAAUCCCCGGGCUCAACCUGGGACCUGCAUUUGUGACUGUAUAGCUAGAGUACGGUAGAGGGGGAUGGAAUUCCGCGUGUAGCAGUGAAAUGCGUAGAUAUGCGGAGGAACACCGAUGGCGAAGGCAAUCCCCUGGACCUGUACUGACGC
rnacentral:rRNA from 1 species